GGUGGAUGCCUUGGCAGUUAGAGGCGAUGAAGGACGUGUUAAUCUGCGAUAAGCGUUGGUAAGGUGAUAAAAACCGUCAUAGCCAACGAUUUCCGAAUGGGGAAACCCACUUAGCAUAAGCUAGGUAUCAUUAACUGAAUACAUAGGUUAAUGAGGCAAACCGGGAGAACUGAAACAUCUAAGUACCCCGAGGAAAAGAAAUCAACCGAGAUUUCGUUAGUAGCGGCGAGCGAACGCGAAUCAGCCCUUAAGCUUAUUGGGCGCUAGUGGAAUGUUCUGGAAAGGACAACGAUACAGGGUGAUAGUCCCGUACACUAAAGCAACCUUUAAGUGAAAUCGAGUAGGACGGAGCACGUGAAACUUUGUCUGAAUAUGGGGGGACCAUCCUCCAAGGCUAAAUACUACUGACUGACCGAUAGUGAACCAGUACCGUGAGGGAAAGGCGAAAAGAACCCCUGUGAGGGGAGUGAAAUAGAACCUGAAACCGCAUACGUACAAGCAGUGGAAGCCGGAUUUAGUCCGGUGACUGCGUACCUUUUGUAUAAUGGGUCAGCGACUUAUAUUCUGUAGCAAGGUUAACCGAUUAGGGGAGCCGUAGCGAAAGCGAGUGUUAACUGCGCGUUUAGUUGCAGGGUAUAGACCCGAAACCCGGCGAUCUACCCAUGGGCAGGUUGAAGGUUGAGUAACAUCAACUGGAGGACCGAACCCACUAACUUUGAAAAGUUAGGGGAUGACCUGUGGCUGGGGGUGAAAGGCCAAUCAAACCGGGAGAUAGCUGGUUCUCCCCGAAAUCUAUUUAGGUAGAGCCUCGCACGAACACCAUUGGGGGUAGAGCACUGUUAAGGCUAGGGGGUCAUCCCGACUUACCAACCCUUUGCAAACUCCGAAUACCAAUGAGUGAUAUGCGGGAGACACACUACGGGUGCUAACGUCCGUUGUGAAGAGGGAAACAACCCAGACCGCCAGCUAAGGUCCCAAAGUACUAGUUAAGUGGGAAACGAUGUGGAAAGGCAUAGACAGCUAGGAGGUUGGCUUAGAAGCAGCCAUCCUUUAAAGAAAGCGUAAUAGCUCACUAGUCGAGUCGGCCUGCGCGGAAGAUGUAACGGGGCUAAACUAGUCACCGAAGCUGCGGAUUUGAACUUAGGUUCAAGUGGUAGGGGAGCGUUCUGUAAGCCGUUGAAGGUGAAUUGAGAAGUUUGCUGGAGGUAUCAGAAGUGCGAAUGCUGACAUGAGUAACGAUAAUGGGGGUGAAAAACCCCCACGCCGGAAGACCAAGGUUUCCUGUCCCAUGCUAAUCAGGGCAGGGUUAGUCGGCCCCUAAGGCGAGGCAGAAAUGCGUAGUCGAUGGGAAACGGAUUAAUAUUUCCGUACUUAUAUAAUCAGUGAUGGAGGGACGGAGAAGGCUAGGCAAGCUUGGCGUUGGUUGUCCAAGUGAAAGCGAGUAGGCCGAGAAUUUAGGUAAAUCCGGAUUCUUAAAGCUGAGACGCGAGACGAGCUCCCAAGGGAGUGAAGUUGUUGAUGCCCUGCUUCCAGGAAAAGCUUCUAAACUUAUGAUUAUAUGAACCGUACCCCAAACCGACACAGGUGGUCAGGUAGAGAAUACUAAGGCGCUUGAGAGAACUUGGGUGAAGGAACUCGGCAAAAUCGUACCGUAACUUCGGGAGAAGGUACGCCCCUGUUUGUGAUUGAACUUGCUUCAUGAGCGAAUGGGGGCCGCAGUGAAAUGGUGGCUGGAACUGUUUAUUAAAAACACAGCA
rnacentral:rRNA from 1 species